rnacentral:rRNA from 1 species
AGAGUUUGAUCCUGGCUCAGGACGAACGCUGGCGGCGUGCUUAACACAUGCAAGUCGAACGGUAAGGCCCCAGCUUGCUGGGGUACACGAGUGGCGAACGGGUGAGUAACACGUGGGUGACCUGCCCCGCACUUCGGGAUAAGCCUGGGAAACUGGGUCUAAUACCGGAUAGGACCGCACCGUGAGGGUGUGGUGGAAAGUUUUUCGGUGUGGGAUGGGCCCGCGGCCUAUCAGCUUGUUGGUGGGGUAAUGGCCUACCAAGGCGGCGACGGGUAGCCGGCCUGAGAGGGUGGACGGCCACAUUGGGACUGAGACACGGCCCAGACUCCUACGGGAGGCAGCAGUGGGGAAUAUUGCACAAUGGGCGGAAGCCUGAUGCAGCGACGCCGCGUGGGGGAUGACGGCCUUCGGGUUGUAAACUCCUUUCACCAUCGACGAAGGUUUUCUGACGGUAGAUGGAGAAGAAGCACCGGCUAACUACGUGCCAGCAGCCGCGGUAAUACGUAGGGUGCGAGCGUUGUCCGGAAUUACUGGGCGUAAAGAGCUCGUAGGUGGUUUGUCGCGUCGUCUGUGAAAUUCCGGGGCUUAACUCCGGGCGUGCAGGCGAUACGGGCAUAACUUGAGUACUGUAGGGGAGACUGGAAUUCCUGGUGUAGCGGUGAAAUGCGCAGAUAUCAGGAGGAACACCGGUGGCGAAGGCGGGUCUCUGGGCAGUAACUGACGCUGAGGAGCGAAAGCAUGGGUAGCGAACAGGAUUAGAUACCCUGGUAGUCCAUGCCGUAAACGGUGGGCGCUAGGUGUAGGGGUCUUCCACGACUUCUGUGCCGUAGCUAACGCAUUAAGCGCCCCGCCUGGGG